AUAAUGAUACUUCCGCCUUCGGGCGGCUCGGUGAGAACCACGGAGAGGUGAGAUUCCUAUGG
ncrna:unclassified sequences pemK RNA